UGUAGCUUGUUGUUGUUAGCUCCUGGAGGCUAGCAUUGUAUUGUUAAUGUGGCAUAUUUUGCCAUUCUCCACCAUUUUAACGCUUUGUUUCAAAUUACACUCACCAGCUUUUGGGUUUCACAAUUAGUCAACAUAUUUUUUCCUUGAAUAAGGCAAUUUAUUUGAAUUUCGGCAGUGGCCAAAAUCUUUUUUUUUUUUUUGUUUUUUUUUUGUUUUUUUUUUUUUGUUUGUUUUUUAAGCACAUUGCCGACGACGGCCAUCUUGAAAUGUGUUGUUACAAUGGUUCAUGGAAGGAUAAAAGGAAAAAGAAAUCGCGUUAUUGGAACUUGUCAGUCGAAUGAUGUUUUUUGUUACUUUUUAUGUCACAAUCUCGAGCGUGUCCCCCACAAGAAUGUUUUUAAAAAGUAAUAUAUGACCAUAAAACAACAAAUUAAAAUGGCAAUUUCAGAAUUAAAUUAGUAUCCCACAACAGAAUGAUUCUUGCUUAAUGAUCCUGAAACCAAUUAUUUACUUAAGAGAAUGUCUAGUGGUUUUGCACUUAUUGCAAUUCUUGCAUAUUUUCCUUCCUCCAAAAGUACCAUUUGCACAUAAGAAAACAGGAAAUGAACACACUAGAGCCCAAAAUUAUAGUUUGUGUGCAUUCCUAUUGAGUAGGAUAGACUGUUACCCAUUUAUAUUAAAAUGUGAUCAAUUCCCUAAUGCAGGGGUCUCCAAACUGGUCCUCGAGGGCUGCUGUGGGUCCUGGUUUUUGUUCAUACCGAUCAAGCACAGCCCUUUUAACCAAUGUGGUUUUUACUGAAAUAAGCAGCACCUGACUGCAAUCAACUGAUUACACUUAUAAACACCAGAUUUGUGAAAAGGUGUGGUCUUGUUUUGUUGGAGGUGAAAUCCUGCACCCACUGCGGCCCUAUGUGAAAUAGUAUGGAGACCACUGCCCUAAUGGGUUGAUUUUAGCAGCAGAACUGUCAUUGUAUAGCAGCGGUAACGAACUCUGGUCCUCGAAAGCCCCUGCCCAGCUUGUUGUCCAUGUCUCCCUCCUUUAACACACAUGAAUCUAAUGAUCUGCUCAUCGGCAAGCUCUGCAGGAGCCACAUAGCGAUCCGGAUUUUUUGGUUCUGCUGGAGGAGGAAAACAAGCUGGAUUUGGUCUCUCGAGGACCGGAGUUGAAUACCCCUGGACUGGUGUAUAGUUUCCAGCUCGUAAUUCACAAUAAAUGUGUAGCUGCUAAGCAUGGAUCCACCUCGUUAUGGCAUCUACUGUAUGAGUGCAGUGUCACUGCAUAUCCUCACCUGUAGAUGAGACCUCCGCCAAGGCCUUUUGGGACAGGCAGAGCAAGAACAUCACCACAUGUAGAAUCAUCAUCGGACAAUAGCGCUCUACACUCCUCCCCAGGGCUGAUCAUCCAUCGGCACAGCAAUAAGAUCUUCAUCUAGUGGCCAGAUGACAAAACAUCAGCUUCACGUGCAAACACACAAAAUGGAGGCGAUGACGGGAGCACCUGCAAAUAUGUCCACACGGGCUGACCCUUCAGGCCCUCAAAGGGGCACUGCCGCGGAACGCUCAAGACCCUUUGGCCAUGACCCGAGGUCAGACAAGUGCCAGCAGACAUGUCACGCUUCAUCUCUGAUUCCUGACUCCGGCUAAGAAGUAACACUGCAAAGCUAGCAGUCUGCAUGUCCACAUUUGGUUCAUAACAAGCUCCAUUAAACCCGGGAAAUGAGAAAAUCCCAAGCAGAAGAGGGCACCAGUUGCAGACAUUCUGAAACAUUUAACGUGACAAUUCACUAGCUCGAAAUCUAACAAACAAUGAGUCAACUAUGAAAUAAUAUACAUGCGGAUAAAACAAGCUGGCCCAGAAGGCGCUUGCGUAACCUUGGGAAACAAACUGUAAGGACAUGCAAGAUCAAGAACCUCUCUCCCCUCCCAUCUCUGUCAGAAGGAAAACUAAAAAUAACAGGACCAUAAUAACAGCAGCUCGAGAACACCUGACAGGAACCCCAUCCCCCACUCCUCUCAUGUCUUGCCUCUUGCUGAUAGAGAGGCUUGAUGAAAAUUACCUGUAGCAGAAGAUGUUUUGGUUUGGGCCCCCGUUUGCGAUAUCCCAUCAGCUGCUCCUGCCUCUCCCUGUGAAAACAAAGGAGAAUUAUGGGUUCUCGUGUCUUGCCUUAUUAAAACUCAUAUCCAAUAAGAAAUGGCAUCUGGCAUAGGAUUGCCACCCAUUACCCUUCACCUAUUCAAGGUCAAAACAUAGAAUUUAGCUAAGAAAAGCCCACACGUGACCCACUGCAAAGCAUUGUGGUCCUUAUUUGCAUAGCUCUCCAUGGUAAUCAUCCCAGUCUGUAUUCUCAUUAUCCUGCUGAAAUUCAAUUAAGGCUACAGCCAAGAGACUCUCUGCUUGUCUUUCAAACAUCCUCCCUUCUGCCACUUCUCCACUAUACCCUCUUACAACUGUAAUUAGGGUCAUGAGGUACAUGGCAAAUGGGAUAAAUACACCUCUACGAUUAAUAAUUCAGCACGAUGUACGGCCGACAAAAGUAGAACAGGGACAGAAACUGGAGAAUGUGGUUGUACUAGCAAGGUCUGGAUGAAAUAUUACUACCAGGAAUAAACCUUGACUAAUCACCCACUCGUAAAUAACCGGCGGUGAACGGAGGUAGGCUAGCGCGAGUCUCACCGGGUGUUCUUCUGAUGUUCAAAACAUCAAGGCUGUCGUGCUAAACCGUGCAGAGGUUAUUUCCAAACGCAAAAUCUGACGAGGUGACCCCUAUUCGCAGAAGAUUUGGCAAUUACAGGCUCCCUUGUGGGUUCCCCUCCCCCAUCCUCUGGGAGCGGGGAGGAUUCCAUACACAGGCAGCCCUCCAUGACCGUCAGGACGGAGCCAGACGCACACAUGCAGCCUGCCAGCGCCAAAGUGUACAAGCAUGCGUGUCAAUUAACCCCGAUCCAAAAUGCUAAUUCUGUUUUUUGACGUUUUUACGCAUUUGGAUUCAUUAACAUUCACUCCCACUGAUGGUGAUUGACGUUCUAUUCGUUUUGACUGGGAGUGUCUGGCAGCGAAUUUCCCAAAAGAAAUACAACAAAGUGUACAAUGUCAUAUACAGUUGUACCUCUCUACCUUACAAACGUCUCUGCAUACAGAAUUUUCAGGUUACGACAUGCCUCAAUGGGGAAAAUAUUGCUUCUUGUUAAAAAAGAAAUUUCCGGAUACAAAUGGCAAAAAUACAGUAUGGGCUGCUACUCGCAGCUCCCAGAGUUUACUGAAUGUAAUAUACUUAUAGCUGCUUUGCCAUUGGCUAUUGCCUAGCAUCUUCCUGGCAUCCAGUUGGCUAAAAGGGACCUCUACUGUAUGUGUAUGUGUGUAUCCCAGCCUCCUCUUCAUUCGCCCCUAGGGCCAUGAGGUGUUCCGUCAGCUUUACGUGAGUGUAUUAACUUUUAUUCUGUACUCUUUUCUUUGUUUUUUUUACAUUAUGCACAAUGUUUAUUGUGCAAUAAUAUAAUGGCAAUAUGUAUUUGUAACAUAUUUUGAUGCAUUUUCAUUCUUGAUAAGAUUUAUGUCUGAAUUUUGGGGGACUUUGAACAGAUUAGGGCAUUUACAUUGAAAACGUGUCUCUAUUUAUGGAAUUUUUAGUUUACAAAACUAUUUCCAGAACCAAUUAAUUUCGUAAGUAGAGGUACCACUGUAGUUACAUAUUUAGAUGACACAUUACACUACUCAACUCAGAUUCAUAUAGCCCUUUCCCAAUAGCUUUAGCUAUAAUACUACAUGGCAUACGACUAAUAAUCUUUUUAAAAAAAUGAUUAAUAUGUUUUUUUGUUUUUAAUUGCAUUUCUUAUUCAAAAUCAGGACAUUAUUUCAAAUUGGCAGAAAAUGCCAAAACACAUUAUGUUCAAUUUUCAUGAAGAUGAAAUACCAGGGUGUCCAUAAAGUCUC